rnacentral:rRNA from 1 species
CCUACGGGUGGCAGCAGUGAGGAAUAUUGGUCAAUGGGCUUACGCCUGAACCAGCCAAGUCGCGUGGAGGAUGAAGGUUUUCGGAUUGUAAACUCCUUUUGUUAGAGAAGAUAAUGACGGUAUCUAACGAAUAAGCACCGGCUAACUCCGUGCCAGCAGCCGCGGUAAUACGGAGGGUGCAAGCGUUACUCGGAAUCACUGGGCGUAAAGAGCGCGUAGGCGGGAUAGCAAGUCAGAUGUGAAAUCCUAUGGCUUAACCAUAGAACUGCAUUUGAAACUGUUAUUCUAGAGUAUGGGAGAGGUAGGUGGAAUUCUUGGUGUAGGGGUAAAAUCCGUAGAGAUCAAGAGGAAUACGCAUUGCGAAGGCGACCUGCUAGAACAUAACUGACGCUGAUGCGCGAAAGCGUGGGGAGCAAACAGGAUUAGAUACCCGAGUAGUC